AAAAAUAAAAAUAAAAAUAAAAAUAAAAAUAAUUUAUAUAAUUAUCACACCUCUCUCUCUUUCUUCUCAAACCAAAACAUUAAUCUAACAGCCCUUAUCUCUUUCCCCUCUCUCUUAAACUCUUAUAAAACACAAAAAAAAACCCUAAAGUUUCUAACAGCCAACAUCUCAGCCCGUCAGCCGCAAGAGGCCUCUCUCCCUCCAUUCGAAACUAAGAGAUUGAGAAAUUCUCUCUCUCCCUCCAUUCGAAAGCCUCCAUUAACGUCGCCCCCUCCUCUUCUCUCUCACUUAACCAGAAACUUCCAUUAAUAUCGCCCCUCCUCCGCCCUUUGAUUUUGAUCUCCUCCCUCUUUCUCUCGGUGGUUUUAAACCACCCACAUACUCUUCUUCUUCUCUCAGUGGUUUUGGAUCCACCCGCCUACUCUCUCUCUUCUCUCGGUGGUUUCAAACCCGCCAGCCAUUGAAGGUCCUCCGCUGGCACCGCCUAACUCCAUCUCCAACUCCGAUUCGCCUCCAUUGGGCUCUUACACCCACAGAAUGAAUGGCUCUUAUACACGAGUACGUCACUCUGCUGCUUCAUGGACCGACGACUGACCCUACAGACCAACACGAGUGUUUCCAGCAUGCUUUGUCCUCACUCGCACGCUUCCUGAGAAAAGUUCCCAGGAGGUCACCCAUCCUUGAAUUGCCCCAGGUCAAGCACGCUUAACUGUGGAGUUCUUUCGUGAUGAGCUACCGAAAAACAAGAUGCAACUUGUUGACAUAGGUAGUACCAAUCAAUCUAUUUAAGCUAUCUUCAACUGUGUAGUCUCAUACCUACACAGUCUCAGAAUCAUCCCACUUGACCUUCCCCAGGCGAUGUGGGAUUGCACAGCUUACCCGGUAUUUCCCCUUACGGAUCACGGGACUACUGACUGUCACAAUCACCCCCCUUACGGGGUCCGACGUCCUCGUCGACCACACUUCCGGCUGGGUCAAGGCUCUGAUACCAUUUGAAACGUCCCCGCUUCAAGCCUCCAUUGGGCCCUUACACCCACAGAAUGAAUGACUCUUAUACACGAGUACGUCACUCUGCUGCUUCAUGGACCGACGACUGACCCUACAGACCAACACGAGUGUUUCCAGCAUGCUUUGUCCUCACUCGCACGCUUCCUGAGAAAACUUCCCAGGAGGUCACCCAUCCUUGAAUUGCCCCAGGUCAAGCACGCUUAACUGUGGAGUUCUUUCGUGAUGAGCUACCGAAAAACAAGAUGCACCUUGUUGACAUAGGUAGUACCAAUCAAUCUAUUUAAGCUCUCUUCAACUGUGUAGUCUCAUACCUACACAGUCUCAGAAUCAUCCCACUUGACCUUCCCCAGGCGAUGUGGGAUUGCACAGCUUACCCGAUAUUUCCCCUUACGGAUCACGGGACUACUGACUGUCACAAGUUGGUUGUAUGUGUUAAGUUUUAUCUUGAUUUUAUACAAGAAGGUUAAGCAUUGCUGAUUUUUUUUUAGGUGAGAACUUAUGAUAAUGUGCAUACUUAUGAUUUGGAUGCUGUAAGAGUAAAAUAUACAGGAUUGUUGUUAUCAUUUAUUAGAAACUCCUUACCCUUUUAAUUUUAUAUUGAUAUUAAUGUGAAGAGUUUUGUUAAUUUAAAUUAGCAGUCAUUCUCUGUUCUAUGUUUCUGUGUGUAUAUGCAGGUGGACGAAAAAAGUUUGGGGUAAUCUAGACCUUCGCAGGGCUUCGCAUUUAACGGGGAUUUAGAGCUGGGCUCGUGUUCAAUCUAGUCUAUUCAUGUUUAGAAAAUGAGUAAUUUUUUUUCAUAAAUGUAUUUUGUAACUGGGUUUUAGUUGUAACUUUUAUUUUAUUUCUUAUUUUUCUGGGUUUGAAGUGUUGAUAUCAAGUGCUAUUUUGGUUGGGUUACUGUACAUUUGGAUUCUUAGUAUGAAAAAAGAUUAGUAUUGGUAAAAAAAAAUUGUUCAUUUGUAAACUCUGCUGAUUUUGGUAAAAUGGUUAAUACAAAA